rnacentral:tRNA from 1 species
UUCAGAAUGGCCGAGCGGUCUAAGGCGCUGCGUUCAGGUCGCAGUCUCCAUUGGAGGCGUGGGUUCAAAUCCCACUUCUGACA